AGGCGAAUAUGAUGAAAGCAAAUAUAAAAAAAGAUGGGUGAUCAUCAAAUAUUAUACGUUUGAUAUGAUCAAAAUUUUCAUCGCUACGUUCUUUCUGAUUCGUCU